rnacentral:rRNA from 1 species
AUUGAACGCUGGCGGCAGGCCUAAUACAUGCAAGUAGGACGCAGUUGCGAACGGGUGAGUAACGCGUAGGUAACUACCUAGUAGAGGGGGAUAACUAUUGGAAACGAUAGCUAAUACCGCAUACUAGUAGAUGGACCUGCGUUGUAUUAGCUAGUAGGUAUGGUAAUGGCCUACCUAGGCAACGAUACAUAGGCGACCGGGGAGGGUUAUCGGCCACACUGGGACUGAGACACGGCCCAGACUCCUACGGGAGGCAGCAGUAGGGAAUCUUCGGCAAUGGGGGGAAGCCUGACCGAGCAACGCCGCGUGAGUGAAGAAGGUUGUCGGAUCGUAAAGCGCUGUUGUUAAGGAAGCGGUACUUAACCAGAAAGGGACGGCUAACUACGUGCCAGCAGCCGCGGUAAUAC